AUAUCACGCUAUUCUACUGAAGCAUUGCUAGUGAACUCGGUGGGUAUCUUGAUUGUUGUUUUAGGUGGUUUCGUUGUCCUCGCAACAAUUUCACCUCUGCAUGCCAAGGGUGAUGUCACCAGAAAUGCAACAGAAUAGGCAUAAUAUGCACAUUACCAUUAAAUUGUCAUUGUCCAGCAGCUGUAUUAUUUACUGGGUGUGAAUCAGGGGCUUGUUCUUGUUACAAGAUGAAUAGAUCACAGAAAACUAAUUGAAAAUUGUGUUUGAAUAAUGGGAAAGAAAUGAUUAACUUGAUUUUGAGUUUGGUUGGAGUGGUUUGUCCGUUCUCAAAACUGAAACAUUUAGCCUUCCUUUAUGCCAGUUA
rnacentral:misc_RNA from 1 species